GAGGUGGACGAGGAUGGUGAGGGCAUUGUCAAUGCACCAAAAGGAAGAGCGGGCAAUUACACCAACGCCGAAGAUAUCUUACUAUGCAAUACUUGGUUGCAAGUGUCGAGGGAUCCAUCCGUUGGAGGUGAUCAAAGUAGAGAUGUUUAUUGGAACCAGAUGAAGGAACACUUUGAUGUUCGCAACGUGAGUGAAACUGACCGCUCCGACCGAUCUCUUCGGUCCCGGUGGUCGAUAAUCAACAAGGAUUUUCAAAAGUGGGCAGCCGCACCAAAGCUGGUUGACAAGUUGAACCCAACACUACUAGGAAAAGGGCUAGUAUGGCGCACCAGUUUUGCCCACUAA
rnacentral:rRNA from 1 species